UACGGAGGAUGCGAGCGUUAUCCGGAUUUAUUGGGUUUAAAGGGUGCGUAGGCGGCUUUUUAAGUCAGCGGUGAAACUUUGCAGCUUAACUGUAACAGUGCCGUUGAUACUGGGGAGCUAGGAUUUGGUUGCUGUGGGUGGAAUGUGUGGUGUAGCGGUGAAAUGCUUAGAGAUCACACAGAAUAUCGAUUGCGAAGGCAGGGGCUCACAAAGCCAAGAUUGACGCUGAGGCACGAAAGUGUGGGGAGUCAAACAGGAUUA
rnacentral:rRNA from 1 species